rnacentral:rRNA from 1 species
AACGAACGCUGGCGGCAGGCCUAACACAUGCAAGUCGAACGCUCUAGCAAUAGAGAGUGGCAGACGGGUGAGUAACGCGUGGGAACCUUCCCAAUGGUGCAGAAUAGCCCAGGUAAACUUGGGGUAAUACUGCAUAAGCCCUUCGGGGGAAAGAUUUAUCGCCAUUGGAUGGGCCCGCGUCGGAUUAGCUAGUUGGUGAGGGAAUGGCUGACCAAGGCAACGAUCCGUAUCUGUUUUGAGAGAAUGACCAGACACACUGGGACUGCGAGACGUCCCAGACUCCUACGGGAGGCAGCAGUGUGGAAUCUGGGAGAAGGGGCGCAAGCCUGAUCCAGCCAGGCCGGGUGAGGGACGAAGGCCUUAGGGUUGUAAAGCUCUUUUGCCGGGGACGAUAAUGACGGUACCCGGAGAAUAAGUCCCGGCUAACUUCGUGCCAGCAGCCGCCGUAA